CCUACGGGAGGCAGCAGUGGGGAAUUUUGGACAAUGGGCGAAAGCCUGAUCCAGCCAUGCCGCGUGAGUGAAGAAGGCCUUCGGGUUGUAAAGCUCUUUUAGUCGGAAAGAAAGAGUCACAGUGAAUAGCUGUGAUUUAUGACGGUACCGACAGAAAAAGCACCGGCUAACUACGUGCCAGCAGCCGCGGUAAUACGUAGGGUGCGAGCGUUAAUCGGAAUUACUGGGCGUAAAGGGUGCGCAGGCGGUCUUGCAAGUCAGAUGUGAAAGCCCCGGGCUUAACCUGGGAAUUGCGUUUGAAACUACAAGGCUAGAGUGCAGCAGAGGGGAGUGGAAUUCCAUGUGUAGCAGUGAAAUGCGUAGAGAUGUGGAAGAACACCGAUGGCGAAGGCAGCUCCCUGGGUUGACACUGACGCUCAUGCACGAAAGCGUGGGGAGCAAACAGGAUUAGAUACCCUGGUAGUCCACGCCCUAAACGAUGUCAACUAGUUGUCGGAUCUAAUUAAGGAUUUGGUAACGUAGCUAGCGCGUGAAGUUGACCGCCUGGGGAGUACGGUCGCAAGAUUAAAACUCAAAGGAA
rnacentral:rRNA from 1 species